rnacentral:rRNA from 1 species
AUGAACGCUGGCGGCGUGCCUAAUACAUGCCAGUCGAGCGAACGGACGAGAAGCUUGCUUCUCUGAUGUUAGCGGCGGACGGGUGAGUAACACGUGGAUAACCUACCUAUAAGACUGGGAUAACUUCGGGAAACCGGAGCUAAUACCGGAUAAUAUUUUGAACCGCAUGGUUCAAAAGUGAAAGACGGUCUUGCUGUCACUUAUAGAUGGAUCCGCGCUGCAUUAGCUAGUUGGUAAGGUAACGGCUUACCAAGGCAACGAUGUAUAGCCGACCUGAGAGGGUGAUCGGCCACACUGGAACUGAGACACGGUCCAGACUCCUACGGGAGGCAGCAGUAGGGAAUCUUCCGCAAUGGGCGAAAGCCUGACGGAGCAACGCCGCGUGAGUGAUGAAGGUCUUCGGAUCGUAAAACUCUGUUAUUAGGGAAGAACAUAUGUGUAAGUAACUGUGCACAUCUUGACGGUACCUAAUCAGAAAGCCACGGCUAACUACGUG